UACGAAGGGGGCUAGCGUUGCUCGGAAUCACUGGGCGUAAAGGGUGCGUAGGCGGGUCUUUUAAGUCAGGGGUGAAAUCCUGGAGCUCAACCCCAGAACUGCCUUUGAUACUGAAGAUCUUGAGUUCGGGAGAGGUGAGUGGAACUGCGAGUGUAGAGGUGAAAUUCGUAGAUAUUCGCAAGAACACCAGUGGCGAAGGCGGCUCACUGGCCCGAUACUGACGCUGAGGCACGAAAAGCGUGGGGGAGCAAACAGGG
rnacentral:rRNA from 1 species